AGUGAACGCUGGCGGUAGGCCUAACACAUGCAAGUCGAACGGCAGCACAGGAGAGCUUGCUCUCUGGGUGGCGAGUGGCGGACGGGUGAGGAAUACAUCGGAAUCUACUCUGUCGUGGGGGAUAACGUAGGGAAACUUACGCUAAUACCGCAUACGACCUACGGGUGAAAGCAGGGGAUCUUCGGACCUUGCGCGAUUGAAUGAGCCGAUGUCGGAUUAGCUAGUUGGCGGGGUAAAGGCCCACCAAGGCGACGAUCCGUAGCUGGUCUGGGAGAAUGAGCAGCCCAACUCGAAAUGAGACACGGUCCAAACUCCUACGGGAGGCAGCGGUGGGGAGUAUUGGACAAUGGGCCCAAGCCUGAUCCAGCCAUACCGCGUGGGUGAAGAAGGCCUUCGGGUUGUAAAGGCCUUUUGUUGGGAAAGAAAUCCAGCUGGCUAAUACCCGGUUGGGAUGACGGUACCCAAAGAAUAAGCACCGGCUAACUUCGUGCCAGCCGCCGCAGUAA
rnacentral:rRNA from 1 species